rnacentral:rRNA from 1 species
UCAUAUGCUUGUCUCAAAGCUUAAGCCAUGCAAGUGUAAGUUCACGCCACGCAUUAGAACGGGCGAAACCGCGAAUGGCUCAGGAACCGGACCUAAUCCUCGGGACCGUAAUCCUCCUCGGAGGCGAUGGAUAACUGUGGCAAUUCUAGAGCUAAUACAUGUGACACAGGCCGCGAUCGGCCGUCGCACMGUGGUCGCCUCGCCUUCUUGCGCGCUGGCACCCGCGGCGGCCGUCUUGGGUCGCGGCGCUACAUAUUAGACUGAGACCGAUGCGCGAUUCCCGUCCUCUCGUUCGUYGGGGUUACCUCACGGUUUCUUCUUCGUUCGGGGUUAAAGGGCGGCGCGCUCCGCUUUGGUGACUCUGGAUAACUCACUGGUCGAUCGCACGGGCUUCCACGCCCGGCGACGGGUCCCUCGAGGGUCCGCCCUAUCAACUGUCGACGGUCGGUUAAGUGCCUACCGUGGUUACUACGGGUAACGGGGAAUCGGGGUUCGAUUCCGGAGAGGGAGCAUGCGAAACGGCUACCACAUCCAAGGAAGGCAGCAGGCGCGCAAAUUACCCACUCCCGGCACGGGGAGGUAGUGACGAAAAAUAACGACGCGGGACUCUGUCGAGGCCCCGCGAUCGGAAUGAGUACACUUCAAAUCCGUUAACGAGGACCAACCGGAGGGCAAGUCUGGUGCCAGCAGCCGCGGUAAUUCCAGCUCCGGUAGCGUAUAUUAAAGUUGUUGCGGUUAAAAAGCUCGUAGUCCGAACUCGGGUUCGUGGUCGCUCACGCGGCCCCGGGGCGGCGGCGCCAUCGUCCAUCGUUGACUUUGGUCGUCCGUUCGCAUUCCCGGCCCUUUCCGCCGGUGUCAAUCGCUAUUAAGACGGCCGCGGGUCAGCUGGUGGUCGGCGUGGUGGGUUUGGCGGGCUCGUGGUUUCUGCCGGGGUCUUCGGGCUUUGGUUUUGGCUGCUUGUCUGUCGUUCUUGCCCGGGCUUUCGGGCUCCCUUCUGCUGUGCCCCCGUGUYGYCGUCGGUGAUUUCUCCUCCAAGGGUGCUCUUAACCGAGUGUCCGCGGCGGCCGGUACGUUCACUUUGAAAAAAUUAGAGUGCUCAGAGCGGGCUGUUCAAGCUUGCAUACUAUAAGCAUGGAAUGAUGGAAGAGGGCCUCGUCUACGUCUGUCGGUCUCCGUCUACGGCGAGGCAAUGAUCGAAGGGAGCGGUCGGGGCCACUCGUAUUGCGACGUUAGAGGUGAAAUUCUUGGAUCGUCGCAAGACGAACUGCAGCGAUGGCGUGUGGCAAGCACGUUUUCCUCGAUCAAGAGCGAAAGUCGGAGGUUCGAAGACGAUCAGAUACCGUCGUAGUUCCGACCGUAAACGAUGCCGACCGGCGAUCCGCCGGCGUUCGCUUCCAUGACCCGGCGGGUAGCCUGCGGGAAACCAGAGUUCGGUUCCGGGGGGAGUAUGGUUGCAAAGCUGAAACUUAAAGGAAUUGACGGAAGGGCACCACCAGGAGUGGAGCCUGCGGCUUAAUUUGACUCAACACGGGAAAACUCACCCGGUCCGGACACCGGUAGGAUUGACAGAUCGAUAGCUCUUUCUCGAUUCGGUGGGUGGUGGUGCAUGGCCGUUCUUAGUUGGUGGAGCGAUCCGUCUGGUUGAUUCCGAUAACGAACGAGACUCCGGCCUGCUAACUAGUGCGCCGAUGUGAGUGCGGCCCUUUGCUGGUCGUGUGCGGGCACGUGGGCUGCGUUUGCGGCGUGAUUUUUGAUCGCGUCGUCGGCGUUGUCCCGCUCGUGUCCGGGUCGGUUUCUCACGCACUUCUUAGAGGGACGGGUGGCAGAAAGCCACACGAGGCGGAGCGAUAACAGGUCUGUGAUGCCCUUAGAUGUCCGGGGCCGCACGCGCGCUACACUGGAGGUAUCAGCGGGGACUUCGCCCCGGCCCGAGAGGGUCGGGAAACCUCUCAACCACCUCCCGUGAUAGGGAUCGGGGCCUGUAACCAACCCCGUGAACGAGGAAUUCCCGGUAGGCGCGGGUCAACAGCCCGCGUCGAUCACGUCCCUGCCCUUUGUACACACCGCCCGUCGCUACUACCGAUCGAACGGUCCGGUGAGGUCCUCGGAUCUGGCCGACGACGCCGCCGGGCGAGGCCUUUYGGGGUCGAGCCUCGGCGUUCGAUGCCUGGAGAAGACGACCGAACCCGAUCGUUUAGAGGAAGUAAAAGUCGUAACAAGGUUUCC